UUUCCGUAGGUGAACCUGCGGAAGGAUCAUUACAGUGCUCUCUGCCCUCACGGGUAGAAACGCCCACCCUUGUGUAUUAUAUCUUUGUUGCUUUGGCAGGCCGCCCUCGGGCACCGGCUCCGGCUGGGUCGCGCCUGCCAGAGGAAACCCAAACUCUGAAUGUUAGUGUCGUCUGAGUACUAUCUAAUAGUUAAAACUUUCAACAACGGAUCUCUUGGUUCUGGCAUCGAUGAAGAACACAGC
rnacentral:misc_RNA from 1 species